rnacentral:rRNA from 1 species
AGCGGCGGACGGGUGAGUAAUGCCUGGGAAAUUGCCCUGAUGUGGGGGAUAACCAUUGGAAGCGAUGGCUAAUACCGCAUAAUAGCUUCGGCUCAAAGAGGGGGACCUUCGGGCCUCUCGCGUCAGGAUAUGCCCAGGUGGGAUUAGCUAGUUGGUGAGGUAAUGGCUCACCAAGGCGACGAUCUCUAGCUGGUCUGAGAGGAUGAUCAGCCACACUGGAACUGAGACACGGUCCAGACUCCUACGGGAGGCAGCAGUGGGGAAUAUUGCACAAUGGGCGCAAGCCUGAUGCAGCCAUGCCGCGUGUAUGAAGAAGGCCUUCGGGUUGUAAAGUACUUUCAGCAGUGAGGAAGGUGGGUAUGUUAAUAGCAUAUUCAUUUGACGUUAGCUGCAGAAGAAGCACCGGCUAACUCCGUGCCAGCAGCCGCGGUAAUACGGAGGGUGCGAGCGUUAAUCGGAAUUACUGGGCGUAAAGCGCAUGCAGGUGGUUUGUUAAGUCAGAUGUGAAAGCCCGGGGCUCAACCUCGGAAUUGCAUUUGAAACUGGCAAA